AGAACGAACGCUGGCGGCAGGCUUAACACAUGCAAGUCGAGCGGGUAGCAAUACCAGCGGCAGACGGGUGAGUAACACGUGGGAACCUUCCUAGAGGUACGGAACAACGCAGGGAAACUUGUGCUAAUACCGGAUAAGCCCUUACGGGGAAAGAUUUAUCGCCGAAAGAUCGGCCCGCGUCUGAUUAGCUAGUUGGUGAGGUAACGGCUCACCAAGGCGACGAUCAGUAGCUGGUCUGAGAGGAUGAUCAGCCACAUUGGGACUGAGACACGGCCCAAACUCCUACGGGAGGCAGCAGUGGGGAAUAUUGGACAAUGGGCGCAAGCCUGAUCCAGCCAUGCCGCGUGAGUGAUGAAGGCCCUAGGGUUGUAAAGCUCUUUUGUGCGGGAAGAUAAUGACGGUACCGCAAGAAUAAGCCCCGGCUAACUUCGUGCCAGCAGCCGC
rnacentral:rRNA from 1 species